UACGUAGGUGGCAAGCGUUGUCCGGAAUUAUUGGGCGUAAAGCGCGCGCAGGCGGUCCUUUAAGUCUGAUGUGAAAGCCCACGGCUCAACCGUGGAAGGUCAUUGGAAACUGGAGGACUUGAGUACAGAAGAGGAAAGCGGAAUUCCACGUGUAGCGGUGAAAUGCGUAGAGAUGUGGAGGAACACCAGUGGCGAAGGCGGCUUUCUGGUCUGUAACUGACGCUGAGGCGCGAAAGCGUGGGGAGCAAACAG
rnacentral:rRNA from 1 species